rnacentral:rRNA from 1 species
CGCGGUAAAACCAGCACCUCAAGUGGUCAGGAUGAUUAUUGGGCCUAAAGCAUCCGUAGCCGGCUCUGUAAGUUUUCGGUUAAAUCUGUACGCUCAACGUACAGGCUGCCGGGAAUACUGCAGAGCUAGGGAGUGGGAGAGGUAGACGGUACUCGGUAGGAAGGGGUAAAAUCCUUUGAUCUAUUGAUGACCACCUGUGGCGAAGGCGGUCUACCAGAACACGUCCGACGGUGAGGGAUGAAAGCUGGGGGAGCAAACCGGAUUAGAUACCCGGGUAGUCCCAGCUGUAAACUAUGCAAACUCAGUGAUGCAUUGGCUUGUGGCCAAUGCAGUGCUGCAGGGAAGCCGUUAAGUUUGCCGCCUGGGAAGUACGUACGCAAGUAUGAAACUUAAAGGAAUUGGCG